GGAGAAUCAUUAAUGAGUUUAUUAUAUUAUUAACCUUGCACUUUGAUUGCUUGUUAAGAAAAUCUAUGGGGAAAAUUUUCUUUGAGAUGCUC